AUUGAACGCUGGCGGCAGGCUUAACACAUGCAAGUCGAGCGGGGAGGGGUAGCUUGCUACCUGACCUAGCGGCGGACGGGUGAGUAAUGCUUAGGAAUCUGCCUAUUAGUGGGGGACAACAUUCCGAAAGGAAUGCUAAUACCGCAUACGCCCUACGGGGGAAAGCAGGGGAUCUUCGGACCUUGCGCUAAUAGAUGAGCCUAAGUCAGAUUAGCUAGUUGGUGGGGUAAAGGCCUACCAAGGCGACGAUCUGUAGCGGGUCGGAGAGGAUGAUCCGCCACACUGGGACUGGGACACGGCCCAGACUCCUACGGGAGGCAGCAGUGGGGAAUAUUGGACAAUGGGGGGAACCCUGAUCCAGCCAUGCCGCGUGUGUGAAGAAGGCCUUAUGGUUGUAAGGCACUUUAAGCGAGGAGGAGGCUCUUUUGGUUAAUACCCAAGAUGAGUGGACGUUACUCGCAGAAUAAGCACCGGCUAACUCUGUGCCAGCCGCCGCCGUAA
rnacentral:rRNA from 1 species